rnacentral:rRNA from 1 species
UACGGGGGGGGGCAAGCGUUGUUCGGAAUUACUGGGCGUAAAGCGUGCGCAGGCGGUUGUGCAAGACCGAUGUGAAAUCCCCGGGCUUAACCUGGGAAUGGCAUUGGUGACUGCACGGCUAGAGUGUGUCAGAGGGGGGUAGAAUUCCACGUGUAGCAGUGAAAUGCGUAGAGAUGUGGAGGAAUACCGAUGGCGAAGGCAGCCCCCUGGGAUAACACUGACGCUCAUGCACGAAAGCGUGGGGAGCAAACAGG